rnacentral:rRNA from 1 species
ACGGGGAAACUUACCAGGUCCAGACAUUGUUAGGAUUGACAGAUUGAGAGCUCUUUCUUGAUUCGAUGGGUGGUGGUGCAUGGCCGUUCUUAGUUGGUGGAGUGAUUUGUCUGGUUAAUUCCGUUAACGAACGAGACCGUAGCCUGCCUAAAUAGUUCCGCGAACUUCUUGUUGGCGGUCGACUUCUUAGAGGGACAACUUGUGACCUGGAAGUGGUAGUUUGC